AACUUACAUUUCGUAGAAAUCUUCGAAAACUGGACGGCAGAUGAAGCACAAAGUAUGCGCACUGUCUUUCACUACGUUUUCGAACUUUGAUAAUCAAACACGAAACGUCGAACCUCGGCGAAUAAGCGACGGUUACGAAUUUCGUAUGAAAAAAAUCAAAUCAGACAGCAAAAACAGCAAACAGCUACGAUGUUUUGAGUCUGACUGAAGGUAGUGCAGUUGUGUGGGAGCCUUUUAUAACCGCGGUGUGGGUUGGGCAUCGUGGCAAUCGUCGAACGGCGCGGUAGUGGGGAGAGAGGAAAGCUGAGGCAGAAAACCCCCAUCUGCGCAAAUUGGUUGUGUGCGGACACACUGGAGGAGCAGGGAUUCUCCGCGCGUGGCGCCGGCGUGUACGAACACAUGUUCAUAAAUAAAUAAUGAACGGCUCGUACGAUAACGAAUCUUAUCGCUGUUGAAUUUUAGAGAUUCGAUGAUGCCCAUGAAGAAGACGUAGAAAUUUUACUGAUCUUUGUAUCUUUCAAGAAUAACGAUCGUUUAAAAAUAUACAUAUAUUUUAUAAUAUUAAAAUUUCAAACUAUAAUUUUAUACGUUUGAUGUAAAGCGAUGUUAUAAGAAUAAGGAAAACAUACUUGACAAACUUUUAUAUAGUUACAGAUGUUGCAGGGGAACAAGGAAUGCAAUCAAAGACAAAAAGAUCUCCCACGCAGCAGGAUGUAAGAACCCCAGGAAACGAAAGGCAGUGUCACGUGUGCACACACCCCGCCAAAUUAUGCGGAAAAAAAGAAAAGCGUAGGUUUAUCUUUAACGUUAAAAUGUCACCGCCCUCGGUGUUGCAUUCAUAAGCGGGCAUACGUCAAGCCACCUUUUGCAGAUUAGACGCGGCAGGGAUUCUCAAAUUCAGCAAUGCGCUAUUGGUUAUCUAUCGAUUUCUUGUCUUUAUGCUUUCUGCGCUAAAUGAACGAACAAAAAAAAGAAAACACGCGUGAUCAUUCUUAAAUUCCAUAAAAUAAAAUCCAUAAUAUAAAAAUUAAAAAUUAAUUUAAAUUUAAGCUUAAUUGGCCAUUAAAGCAUUUAAGAAAUCAAAUUAUCCGGCUCCUUAAAAUUAUAAUAUUUAGAGUUCAAGACAAGGUAUAUUUUCAUCGUUUUUGCUUUUCUUUAUUCUAUCUUAACAUUUUUUUUUAUAACUUUUCUUUUUAAUUUAACAUUCAUUAGAUAUUUUGGAAUUUUAAAUAUUCUUUCAAUGUUUUUGUUAAUAUCGUAUACAAUUGAUUAUAUUUAUAUUUUGAUUAAAUUCCUACACUACAUUGAACUCUAUUAAAAUGCAAUUAAUCGAUUCUGAAAUUACGAAAACGAUAUUCAAUAUGACUUAAAGAAAUAGUAAUGCUUAAUAUCAAGGAAUUAGUUUUCGUUCAAUUUUUUAAAUUUUUUGUAAAAUUUUAUACACGUACUAUUUACAAAGAUCGAAAUUUUAUUCUGGCCUAUUGUUUCCAAUGCAAAUAUCAAUUUUAGUCAUUUUCAAUGUAAAUAUUAAAUCUUCAGUAAUAUUUUCAAACUAGAUCAACAGGUAAAUAUGAAUUUUUCAAUUUUUUUCAAUUUAUCGAAUUAAUAUUGAGAAAUACAUAAUAGAAUAGAAUUAUGAUACAUAGAAAAUCAUUGUAUCAUUAAUUUUUCAUUAUUCUUACUCUCUUAAUAACAUAUAAAAUUUUUUAAAUUAAAUUUAUAUAAUUUUAAAUUCUAUACUUUCUAUGAUAAAUUACUUUUCCUUAAAUUUUUAAAUUUUGUAACGAAGAUUCAAUAAUAAUUUUACAAAUAUCGAUUCUUACGAUAUUAAUGUUUCUUUUUAGAACGAAGAAUGAUUUUUGAAAUAAUUUUUGAGUUCAUUUUUCGUCAAAAUUCUUCGAAAUAUAUUGCUUUAAAAAAACCUGAGAUAGUAUUAAUGAUUAAUAAAAAUGGGAAAGUAUGAGAACGUAAUAUUAACAAUCUUGUCUUUAAUAAGUAAGGAAUUUUAAGAUAAGAAAUCGGAAAUGCUGAUUAUCAACAAGAUAUAUAAUCAUUAAAUCGAUUAUUAAAAAAAAAAAUCGAUUUUCGAUAUUUUUGACAUUUUCGAUAAAAGUAAUGGUGAAAAGAUAAAAUAAAAUAUUAAAAAAAAUUUUGUAAUUAUAACAAAUAUUUAUUAUAUUUAUCAUAAACUCGAGACAUUAAAAAAUGUCGUUAAGAUGUACAUAUACAUUUUAUGUAAUUAUUUUUUUAAUCUUUUCUUAUCUUUUAAUCUGCUUCAUGAAAUUUACAUCCCACUAAACAGAUAUUCAUGUAAAUUUAACGUUCCAUAACACGAUGGUCUCGUUUAAAAACCAUGUUAAUUAAAGAACCUAUUAAGUCGGUCAAAAAGUUUGUAUCAUAUCUUCUUCGUAAUAAUCUCAGAUAUAAAGGUAAAAAUAAGAUAAAAAAUUUCUAAAUAACAGACUUUCCCAAUAUUACUUUUCAAAUUUUUUUUUUAAACUCAUCAAUGAAUCGAAUAUUUAAUUUAUUUCUAUAAUAUACCUUAUUACUUGCUUGAGAAAAAGAAAACGUAUUACAUUUAAUCACAGUAAUGAAAAGAAAUUUAAAAAAAAAAUCUCUAAAAUUGUAAAAGCAUAGGAAAGAAAUUUAUCUAUUAUAUACCUUCGUUAACCUUUCCUCCAAUCCAUCCAUAUAAAUAUAUUUCACGAAAUAUUCUACCAAAAAUAACAUUCGUAUGAAUGAAUUUUUCGGGAUUCGUAUCUUUUUCUUUUUUUUUUUUUUCUUUUCCACCUGCGCGAUAUUCACGUAUCUCGUCAUAAAUUCCACGCAUCUUGUCGCCAAGAAGAAAAAUUCGAAUGCUCGAAUUUAAUUCAAGCACCGACUUGUUCAUGACACGAAACAGCCGACGAUGUAUUUUAAAAUCAAUUUUAAAAUCAUUUUAAAAUCGUGACUAUACGGAAAUUCGGAUGAUACAAGCAGCUAAACUCGAAUAUUUGAAUAAGCGUCCUGAUUUAUUUAUAACGUAAUAUAUAUCUAAGAGAGGACCACUUUAUGCGCGGAUGAAUAUCGAAUGCUUCGUUCGUGUUCACGCCGUUUUGAAUGUAAUUAAAUAAAAAAAGGAGAUCUUGAUUCAAAUUCGAAUUUAUACGUAUAAAAAGAUACGUAAGAAAUACGAGUGUAUUCAAAGGAGUGCACUUAUGCAUGUGGAUUAUUUUAAACUGAUUCAUAAUCGGCGUACGUGUACGUAUACACAUGUACGCAGUUAUCUCUGAUCGUAUUGAGUCGAGCAAUGAACAAUUCACUGGCCGAAUCGUGGGCGUUCUCGAUUCGAACGUUCGCCUCGUUCACUUUGUGGAAAAUGUAAGCGAGAAAAAUGUCCAAGUUCAAUUGAUGUACGCAAAUAUUUGAUAAAUCGAGCACGAUGAUGAUAAUUUCGUUUCAUAAAGCGCGUGGAUAAAUAUAUCGAUGUAAAAUGAAAGAAAGAGAGAGAUUCUCGUGGUCGUUAAUUUUAAUUGACUAUUCGGAUCAAAUAUUUGUUUGAAGAGUUAUAAUACUGAUAUAACAUACGUGUUUCGCAAAAAUUUAAACACGAUGAUGCAAUUAAUAAUAAUAAUCUGUUAUUUCAAUAACAAUUAAUAAUUUGUAUUCGUUUCGAUAAUAAAUAUAUAUAUAUUUAAA